GACAGAGGGUGCAAACGUUGUUCGGAAUUACUGGGCGUAAAGCGCGUGUAGGCGGUCAGGCAAGUCGGAUGUGAAAUCCCGUGGCUCAACUACGGAAGUGCACCCGAAACUGCUUGACUUGAGUCCCGGAGAGGAAGGCGGAAUGCUUGGUGUAGAGGUGAAAUUCGUAGAUAUCAAGCGGAACACCGGUGGCGAAGGCGGCCUUCUGGACGAGGACUGACGCUGAGACGCGAAAGCGUGGGGAGCAAACAGGAUUAGAUACCCUGGUAGUCCACGCCGUAAACGAUGAGUGCUAGGUGUCACGGGCUUUGACCCCUGUGGUGCCGUAGCUAACGCAGUAAGUACUCCGCCUGGGGAGUACGGCCGCAAGGCUAAA
rnacentral:rRNA from 1 species